rnacentral:sRNA from 1 species
UGCAUUACAAGAAUGGUGCUCACUGCUCG